ACUUCCUGAAGAGGUAUUUUAAGAAACGGUUGUCCUUACUGAACUUGGUCAUAUUUCUGAAGCAUUUACACAAGAGUCUUAUGAAAGGAAAAUGAAUUUCCAGCUUUUGAUUGGACUGUAUCUCAUAUCUCAUCUCUGGGCUACGCUGGUACUUUAUUCAUCAGGUCCUGUGCUGCAGAUUGCUAUACCAGGAGACAGAGUUACCUUGAUAUGUGGUUUACCUUCUACUGGAUCCUGCUCUUCUGUAAACUGGAUAGUCACAGGUUCGAUAUGGGAAACAGAUGAGGUGGUUACAGCUGGAAAAGUGACACAUUUAAAGAAAAACAAGUAUCGUCUGCUAAAGGAUUGCUCCCUGGAGAUCCCUCAGAUGGAGCGUGAUGAUGCCAGGUUGUACACUUGUCAAAGUGGAGCGCUAAAUUCAAGUGUUGACCUUCGGUUUGUUGACAUUACUGAGAACAAACCUCCAGCAGAGGGCACCAUAGAACUUCACUGUUCCAUCAGUAAAUCUACAGGAAAUGAGCUUUGUAAAAACAACACAGACAUACAUUUCACUUGGACAACAGAGGAUGACGUUCCAAUAACUGGUAAUAGAUUUAGAUUUGAAAAUCCAUCUGUUUGCCUCUCAAAACUCAUCAUUACCAGGAAACUGACCGACCAUCACAGAAUAUGGAAAUGCCAAAUAACCCAGAAUGGUGAGGUUAAAGCCUCUGCCUGAUACAGGACAACAGUAAGAGAUGGGCUGGAGGAAGUGUUCACUGCUGUUGGUGAGUCAGUGUCACUUCUAUGUAGAAACACUUCCUCUCUCAGACUUGGAGACAGAUUAGAGUGGACACUGAAUAACAAAACGCUCAGUGAUGUGUUACCUGAAAAUGGACAAGCAAAUGCAUUUCCUGUGAUCAAAGACUCAUCCUUAGUAAUCAGCAAAAUGACUCCUCUGUAUGGUGGAGAUUACCAGUGUAUGAGUUCAUCUGAUGAGCAAAGAGUGUUACACAAAUUUAGGGUUCACACCCUCGAAGUUGCAGCAAAUACAGACCCAGUAGGAGGAAAUCUCUCUUUGACCUGUGUGCUUACUUGUGCUGAAACAUGUGAAGAAAACUUCAACUUAACUUGGUCAGGAAGUAACCAAGAGCGUUGGCAAGGCAGAUUAUUUCAUGUCAACAACACAUUGAUCAAUGAGCUUCUUCUACCGGUUUGGCCAGUUAGCUCUGAUGCAAUAACCUGCUCUGUGUACAGAGAAGGUUCACUGAGGGCAUCGAAAACUUUGAGCCCUGAUAAAUCUCCGCAGAGCCUGGCAUGGUUAGGUCUCCUUCUUGGAGUUUUAUUAUGUGCAGCAGCAGGAGGAGUUUUUAUUCACUGGAAGAGGAACCGCAACAAGGAUUUGAGUCCUGAAUCUGCUGAUGAACUGUCAAGCAUCUCAAUGAAUCAUAUUUAUGAUGUCGUUCAGGAUGAGGAAGUACAGCAACCGGGACCGCUAAAUAGAGAAGUUGCCACCACUGAUGAUGGUUUCUACAAUUUAUUGCAACCUGUGAACUAAAGUAAAAUAAACACUGCUCUGUCUUUACUUAAAUGCUGAAAUAGUUUUAUUUGCCAACACAAUAAACAUGAUUUGCAAAAUAAAAUACACAAGAGAA